UCAAUAAGCGGAGGAAAAGAAACUAACAAGGAUUCCCCUAGUAACGGCGAGUGAAGCGGGAUGAGCUCAAAUUUGAAAGCUGGCAGUAAUGUCCGCAUUGUAAUCUCGAGAGAUGUUUUCCGCGUUGGACCACGUACAAGUUCCUUGGAAUAGGAUGUCAUAGAGGGUGAAAAUCCCGUACUUGAUGUGGACGCCCAGUGCUUUGUGAUACGUCUUCGAAGAGUCGAGUUGUUUGGGAAUGCAGCUCAAAAUGGGUGGUAAAUUCCAUCUAAAGCUAAAUAUUGGGGAGAGACCGAUAGCGAACAAGUACCGUGAGGGAAAGAUGAAAAGCACUUUGGAAAGAGAGUUAAACAGUACGUGAAAUUGUCAAAAGGGAAGCAUUUGAAGUCAGACGUGUAUUUCAGUAUUCAGCCUUGCUUUUGCUUGGUGUAUUUGCUGUCGUACAGGCCAACAUCAGUUUUGAGUGACGGAUAAGGGUAGAGAGAAUGUGGCACCUUCGGGUGUGUUAUAGCUCUUUACUGGAUACGUCGUUUGGGACUGAGGAACGCAGCGCGCCGUAAGGCAGACCCUCGGGUACUUUCGCGCUUAGGAUGUUGGCGUUAAUGGCUUUAAGUGACCCGUCUUGAA
rnacentral:rRNA from 1 species